rnacentral:snRNA from 1 species
GGAUGUGAGGGCGAUCUGGCUGCGACAUCUGUCACCCCAUUGAUCGCCAGGGUUGAUUCGGCUGAUCUGGCUGGCUAGGCGGGUGUCCCCUUCCUCCCUCACCACUCCAUGUGCGUCCCUCCCGAAGCUGCGCGCUCGGUCGAAGAGGACAACCUUCCCCGAUAGAGGAGAGGACCGUUCUUCGGUCAAGGGUAUACGAGUAGCUGCGCUCCCCUGCUAGAACCUCCAAACAAGCUCUCAAGAAAAAUGGCCUUGAGGAGCUUUCCAUUUGCAUAACUGAAGGAAAAUCUCUCAAGGCCUUU